CAGCCGCCGCGGUAAAACGUAGGGUGCAAGCGUUAAUCGGAAUUACUGGGCGUAAAGCGUGCGCAGGCGGUUAUAUAAGACAGAUGUGAAAUCCCCGGGCUCAACCUGGGAACUGCAUUUGUGACUGUAUAGCUAGAGUACGGCAGAGGGGGAUGGAAUUCCGCGUGUAGCAGUGAAAUGCGUAGAUAUGCGGAGGAACACCGAUGGCGAAGGCAAUCCCCUGGGCCUGUACUGACGCUCAUGCACGAAAGCGUGGGGAGCAAACAGGAUUAGAUACCCGUGUAGUCCCUGUCUCUUAUAC
rnacentral:rRNA from 1 species